UACGGAGGGGGCAAGCGUUAUCCGGAUUCACUGGGUUUAAAGGGUGCGUAGGUGGGUCUGUAAGUCCGUGGUGAAAUCUCCGAGCUUAACUUGGAAACUGCCAUGGAUACUAUAGGUCUUGAAUACUGUGGAGGUCAGCGGAAUAUGUCAUGUAGCGGUGAAAUGCUUAGAUAUGACAUAGAACACCAAUUGCGAAGGCAGCUGGCUACACAAAUAUUGACACUGAUGCACGAAAGCGUGGGGAUCAAACAGG
rnacentral:rRNA from 1 species